UCAAGACGUACUGUGCUGCGCUUACUGACCUUUCAGUGAGUUUCCGAGGCGGUGGAAGCCUCGCUGUUGUCCUCUGUGCAGCGUCGAUAAACCCGAUACAUUAUUGCCCAUGACAAGAGUCUGCAACAGUUCAGCGCUGUCACUCUGCUGUUUAUCACUCCGAUAACUGCUGCUUGUUCCACCGCUGACACGCUUUCCUCCGGGGAACACGUACAAACACUUUUCCUCCAGACACCAGUGAAAGUGAAGUUGUGUUUUAAAAUGAUGUCCUCAAGUCAGAAGCGCGCGAGCUAAGCGGAAGAGGCAACAGGCACACAGGUGCGCUGAGCAUGCAACGACAGUAUGAGGGAGCUGAAUCCUGGGUGCAGCUUUUGGUUUUCCAUUAGCGGAAUUUGACGACUAUAUAAUCCUCUUCAGUGAGAUCUGAGGGUUAGCACACAAAAGCUGAGAGCUUUGUGUCACACACAAAACAAGCUGCAGUUCAUCCACGCCACAGCUACGUGCAACCCUCAGCCUCCCCAUUGCCCCCAUACUACGGUUUCAUCAGCGGCAUCAUCUUAUCAGCAAUUAGAUGACAUUUUCAGAUAUCUUCUCAUCACCGCCCAGUUCCAUCACCAGUGUCUGGACUCCACAAGGAAAUAGAUUUUGCUGCAGCUCAGGGCAGACACACUUUGAUAUCCUGUAGAGUUCAAGUGCCAAAGAGACUCCAGGAAUACUUCAAUAUCACAUCAUUUCUGUUAAAAUAAAUAUUUAUCUUCAGUUCAUUAA